CCAAACAGCCCCUUAAUGAGUUGGCAUUUUGGCAGUCCUUCCUUCUGGUAAAAAGAAGACUCCCAACUCGUCGUCUGCUCGGGUUAGAUCCUCCACCAGUCCACCUCCCUGCCGCAGUGAUCGCCGCCGGCCGAUAUGCCAUCCAGCGACCGCUACAUGGUCUGCUCACCGUCGCCAUCCACUGGCCCGCACUCCCCUCACCUUCCCCUCUACGAGCAUGAGCAGUACAUUACAGAAUUGCUAGCAGAGAGACAAAAGAUUGGGCCUUUUGUGCCAGUUCUCCCAUGCACAGCUCGCUUGUUGAAUCAAGAAAUAUUGCAUGUGUCUGCACUCUUGGGGAUUCAUGUCUUAGAUCAACCUGGGUUUCAACAUGGUAGCCCCCUUUUAAAUGGAGGAGCAUUCUCAAAUGGAAGGCCAGCUGACGUGAAUGGUUGGGCGCCACGAUUUUCGUCAGAAAGGUUAGGCAUAUUUGAUUCCCCACCAUCUGAAAAUGGGCUCAAUGCACAAGGGAACUCCUCAGGUUUCAUUGUGAAGAAAAUGAUGAGAAUGGAUAUUCCUACGAAUAACUAUCCUAAUUUCAACAUCGUUGGUCGACUGCUUGGUCCAAGGGGAAAUUCUCUUAAACGAGUUGAGGCAGCCACCAGCUGUCGUGUCCUAAUCCGAGGCCGUGGUAGCAUAAAGGAUCCUGCUCGGGAAAACUUUAUGAGAGGGAGACCAGGAUAUGAACACCUUGAUGAGCCUCUCCACCUCGUGAUCAAAGCUGAGCUGCCAGCUGAAAUCAUCGAUGCCCGUCUUAUGCAGACCCAAGAAAUUCUCGACGAUAUGCUGAAACCGGUGGAUGAAACAAUGGAAUUCUUCAAGACGCAGCAGCUUCGCGAGCUUGCUAUGAUCAAUGGCACCCUCAUAGAUGAUGGCUCACAGAAUUCCGGAUCGGUUUCCCCAUUCCGCGGCGACUUGGGCAUGAAGAGGGCCAAGAGGGUUAAUUAGGAACAUGGGCACUUGGUUGUCUUGGUUCACCAUCUUUAUGAGAAUGGGUUUGCACCUGCAAAAGGAAUGUUACUUUACUAGCUCUAAUCUAGGAAGAAGAAUGUGCUCCAUUUUGGUAGACUUGUGUAGCUCAAAGCGUUGGUCGUUUGGAAGUGCAAUGCUUCUGUAUGAAAGAAGGAAAUGAUUGGCAGAAUGGAGAAGGAACAUGCCCAGGAAACUCAGGAUUUGGCUUCUUUAUCUGCAUCUAAACUGCUGUCCCUUUUCUAAGGGGGUGUGGCAUCUUUGCCAGCCGCAGGCUGGAAGAAUUUCGGAAGCAGCAAAAGAAGGGAACAUUCAGAAAUGGUAGAGCAAGAUCAGAAUGGCUUCAAGUAAGAAUCCAGCAGCAAAGGAGAUUACCUUGGCUUCAUACAUUUUGUGGAACAGAGAAAUCACAGAAUGUUUGAAGAGAAAUGCCUUCAGCCUAGAAGUAUUCUCAGCUCGUUUGAUUGGAGGGAAUUAGGAAAAGGGAAAGGAAAUUGAAGGGGUAAGUGAUGCUAAAUUAUAUGUUGAGUAAAUGCACUGUAGGUCCUAAAACUAUUCGGGGUGUGUCAAGUGAGUCCUAAUUCUAUGGAAGUGCAUAUUUGAAUCCUAA